rnacentral:rRNA from 1 species
GAUGAACGCUAGCGGCAGGCCUAAUACAUGCAAGCCGAACGGUAAUCUUGAUAGCAAUAUUGAGACAAGAGUGGCGUAAGGGUGCGUAACACGUAUGCAAUCUACCCGCAACAGGAGGAUAGCUCCCCGAAAGGGGAAUUAACCCUUCAUGAGAUCACGGUCAGGCAUCUGAGAGUGAUUAAAUCUGAGGAGGUUGUGGAUGAGCAUGCGCUGAUUAGCUAGUUGGCGGGUAACGCCCACAAGGCAUGAUCAGUAGGGGAACUGAGAGG